CACGUAGGGCGCAAGCGUUGUCCGGAAUUAUUGGGCGUAAAGAGCUCGUAGGCGGCCUGUCGCGUCGGCUGUGAAAACUCGGGGCUCAACUCCGAGCUUGCAGUCGAUACGGGCAGGCUAGAGUUCGGCAGGGGAGACUGGAAUUCCUGGUGUAGCGGUGAAAUGCGCAGAUAUCAGGAGGAACACCGGUGGCGAAGGCGGGUCUCUGGGCAGUAACUGACGCUGAGGAGCGAAAGCGUGGGGAGCGAACAGG
rnacentral:rRNA from 1 species